GACGAACGCUGGCGGCGUGCUUAACCCAUGCAAGUCGAACGGAAAGGCCCUGCUUUUGUGGGGUGCUCGAGUGGCGAACGGGUGAGUAACACGUGAGUAACCUGCCCUUGACUUUGGGAUAACUUCAGGAAGCUGGGGCUAAUACCGGAUAGGAGCUCCUGCUGCAUGGUGGGGGUUGGAAAGUUUCGGCGGUUGGGGAUGGACUCGCGGCUUAUCAGCUUGUUGGUGGGGUAGUGGCUUACCAAGGCUUUGACGGGUAGCCGGCCUGAGAGGGUGACCGGCCACAUUGGGACUGAGAUACGGCCCAGACUCCUACGGGAGGCAGCAGUGGGGAAUAUUGCACAAUGGGCGGAAGCCUGAUGCAGCAACGCCGCGUGCGGGAUGACGGCCUUCGGGUUGUAAACCGCUUUCGCCUGUGACGAAGCGUGAGUGACGGUAAUGGGUAAAGAAGCACCGGCUAACUACGUG
rnacentral:rRNA from 1 species